rnacentral:tRNA from 1 species
UCCCUAGUGGCUCAGCUGGUAAAGAAUCUGCCUGCAAUGCAGGAGGACCUGGGUUCGAGCCCUGGGUUGGGAA